UCGUAACAAGGUCUCCGUUGGUGAACCAGCGGAGGGAUCAUUACCGAGUUUACAACUCCCAAACCCCUGUGAACAUACCUUAUGUUGCCUCGGCGGAUCAGCCCGCGCCCCGUAAAAAGGGACGGCCCGCCGCAGGAACCCUAAACUCUGUUUUUAGUGGAACUUCUGAGUAUAAAAAACAAAUAAAUCAAAACUUUCAACAACGGAUCUCUUGGUUCUGGCAUCGAUGAAGAACGCAGCAAAAUGCGAUAAGUAAUGUGAAUUGCAGAAUUCAGUGAAUCAUCGAAUCUUUGAACGCACAUUGCGCCCGCCAGUAUUCUGGCGGGCAUGCCUGUUCGAGCGUCAUUUCAACCCUCAAGCCCAGCUUGGUGUUGGGAGCUGCAGUCCUGCUGCACUCCCCAAAUACAUUGGCGGUCACGUCGAGCUUCCAUAGCGUAGUAAUUUACACAUCGUUACUGGUAAUCGUCGCGGCCACGCCGUUAAACCCCAACUUCUGAAUGUUGACCUCGGAUCAGGUAGGAAUACCCGCUGAACCUAAGCAUAUCA
rnacentral:misc_RNA from 2 species